GAAAACUUCUGGGAAGAGCAUGGAAAUUAGGAGAACCUGAAGUGCUCGGAGGGAGAAGGCUGACAAGCCCAAUGAGGAGGAAGCUUGAGAGCACGCAGGCUGUCUGUCCUGAUAUUUAACACACGGAAACUAAAGGCAGAAGAGGUGCAAAAAGCUUAAUAGUAUUUGUAGUUUAAAUUAAAGUGUUCAGAGCCCGUUAUAGAGCAGGGUAAUGUACGCAAUGACAUCUGGGGCUGUAAUCAGUGAAGCGCUUUCAAGAGCUGCCAAAGCAAACAGCCAAAUAACAAAUCCACUUUACAGAUCAUCAAUCCGGCCCUGGACUUGCCAAGGUAAAUAGUAAAAGGCUGAAGUUUGCUUUGCAAACCGGGGAGCUGGGAGUUGAGCAGGGCCCUGAUCCACAGCUGCACCGCUGGGGCAGGGCCCCUGGAGCUCCAGGCAUGGAAGAAGGCCAACAAGCCAGGCAGCCCAGCUUCUUGAGGUGGAGGCUGCCAUAGGUCUGGAUACCUAGCAACCCAGAAGGUAGGUAGACAUGGCUGCCAGGUGAGGUGGCCACUCUCGAUCCAGCCCAGAGGUAGGGGCGGGGCUUGGCAGUUUAUGGACUUUGGAGAAGAGAGUAUAACCCAAAGCUGCAGUCUUCCUGCUUGCUGCCAGGCUUCAUGAAAGGGAAUUAAAGCUCCUGGCCAGAAUGAUAUUUUUCUGAGAAGCCAGUCAAUGUCCAGAGGAGAAGGUGCAGGACGAAGGAUAGCUGCUGUCCAGUAGAUCCAAGUGCCCGGAGAUGAACACUGCUGCUUCUGAGUCCAGAACUUUCCAGAAGAAAUCAGGGUUACGGUUACUGUAGGGUCAUUGUGAGAUUCUUAAAACCUGAAGUGCUAAAGCUUUCGGUUAAUCCCCAGCAUUUUGGGGGUGAUACAGGGAGGAAGGCUUGCUCUGAGAGUAUCAGUGUCCUGGCAAAAGGCAGGUGUGAGCCAGCUAGAAGAGCAGGACUCUGCAUGUUAGGCCAGAGAGGACCGUUCCCGCCAUACCCUGGAAAGAAACACUUGCUUUGAUUUUCUAUCACAGACGUAAGACCGCAGGGCUUUAAGGGAACCAUAGCCACAGAGUCGGCUCCCUAAAGGGCAGUUUGCCUGUGUCACGUGGGUGAGAAAAGGGAAGAUCAGAAAAUGAUGCAAGGCUGAAGGAAGAGGCACCCUCUGGCUUGUUCUGAGUACCCCAGGGUAAUGACUGAGCCUCUGGGCUGGAUGCUGGAGCCUCUGGGCUCUCUAUGCCUACAGACUGACACUGUUUAGGAAGACUGUGCAGAAAAGGCCCCAGCCUCAGGGCCUGGGAGCCACAGGCUAUGAAUGGGUCACACAUCUGCUUGCACUAAUUAACUCUAACUGCUGUUGUAAUUAGUUGUCGCUGUCACAUUUAUUUGUUGACUUUUUUUAGCAUACAUACCUGUAAAAGAGUAUUUUUUGGUGGUUCUUUUGCCCUGUCAUGUGUAAGGCUUAAUGACUGAAUUUGUUGUUGCCCUUACAUUUUAACUAUUCAAGGCUUAUAUCAUCCCAUUUUACAGGUACAGAAACUGAGGGUUCAUAAAAGUUCUGUAACUUGACCCAUGCUGUCUAGCUCAGUACUAUCCCCUACGUGAUUUUCUUUGAAGUCUAAAGGAUAAAAUAUUGAUCCCCACAUCCUCUUUCUACCAAGGGCUUUCCCAGGAAACAGUUGGCACGUGCAGGGAAGCCCUCUAUUGAUGUCCCUAUUGUACCCUGAGCCUCUGUUUACACAUCUGUCUUCCCUGUUAGACCUCGGACAUCUGGAGAUUAUGUCUAAUUACCCUCCUGAGUCUGAGGCUUCUGUUGGGGAUUCCAUACACUGUAUGCUGAAGAAAUGUGCACGAGUGGAUGAUCUGACGAACACAUGCAUGCAGGCUCAUCACCCCAACAGAAAAUAAAGGACCUGAAAGGGUCAGGAACAUGCUAAAACUUUAGAGCUAGCAGAGUGGUCAAAGCCUGGGCUCCUGGGCUCAGAAAGACAAUGAGAGCUGAGAACACUGUGUGAAAUCCACAGGAUGGCAAGUGCUGGGUGUGGGAAAGAGGGUGGCGAGAGGAGGUGUGUCUGGUGGUGAUGAGGGGCAGGACCCAUCUCCCUUACAAAUGUCUCCAUUUUGUCCUUGGCCUGGCUUGAGGUCAUGGACAGUUCAUUCCAGUGACAGAUGGUAUCAGUUCUGUUAAGAUUACAGUUGGAUUUAAUCCUAGUAGCUAGAAAGCUGAGGCAGGAGGAUUGCCAUAGUUUGAGGCACACUUAGACUACACAGUGAGUUACAGGGCACUUGGUAUAUAGUGUUAGGCUCUAUCUCUCUUUCU
rnacentral:lncRNA from 1 species